AUGAGAGGCUACCACGUGUCCUAAAAAAAGAAUGAGAAGAGGCCAGCGAGGGAGGAAAACCAGCGGACAACGCAGGCCAUCUAAUGCUUUGCGAUGAUGGUCUUCCCACAGCACAAUGCUUCGUCAUCCCCUCAAAACCAGCCGACCCCCUCGACGGUGAACCUCUCCAAGCUCAAGCGCUCCAAUUCCAAACGUCAUCAUUCGGCACCCUCCGAUGUGCCUGCCGCUCCCCAUGAUCAUCAUCAGAUGCUCGCCGAAAGGCCGCCGCCCAGAUCGACCAAGGUGCUCGCAGCCUCUAUAAGAAUGAAAAGCUUCGGCCUCUAUCUGGCGAGUUCGACAACAUGAUCCACGACCACCAGUGUGUCAUACUCUACGCGAACCUUGGGAACAUCCGCGCGCCCAGCGGCGUCACCCCCAACCACAGUGUGCUUGAUCUCAUCUCCAGAGAAAGUGUCCCACUGGAGCGACAAGGUUGCCGCCCGACCUCAUGGGCAUGGGCCGGCUGCUUGAGGCCCUGGGGGAGAUCAAGGAGGCGGUCAAGAUAGAUCCUUCGUAUGGCAGGGCACACCAUCGUCUUGCUACUUUUUACCUCAGACGGUGGUGGCAGGCAAAUACAACAACAGGCCAGUACAAGCACCAACAAUGCAUGGGAACAGCAAAUAUGAGAUCAUUGUUUCAACUUUUUUAGUUAAAAUAAGAGUUUUGAAGUAUCUUGUUUUCUUUUUUCUUUUUUCCUUUUCCCUGUUUUUUUGGGUUGUGGGUGGAUGGCAUGGCACAGCACAUUUGCAUCAGCUCAAUGCCAUACAGCACUGCAUGGUACACUAUGGCGCCUCAGGCCAACAACACUUAAAUAGUUAAACCCCUGUUCCAUA